ACCUUCCUGUGGCAUUUGCAGGGCCUGUGAGUCUGUCACGGCAUUGGGGGUGGGGGAGGUAAGUAGUCAGCGUCUGUGAUGCCCAUCUGCUGUCUGUUCUCUGUAUCUGGACGCCUUUCUACAACCAACUCCCGAGUUCUUCUGCUUAUGUCUGACAAAGUAAGUUUGCCAAUCACGUAACUCCGAUCGGUGUAGAUUGUAAACAACCUCUGAAGACAUCAAAUUGUGGACGUUUAAUAAAGUACCUGACUUUUCCCCCAUGUUCUUUCCUUUACUAUGGAGGAUCCCAAGGGGUCAAUUAUAUGUCUUGUUUGUUUGGAUCCUCUCAGCAAAUCAUCCAAGCUCAAGCAGAUGUUGGGGGUCCCAGUGUGUGCUUGUUGAAUGGAUCUGUCUUCGCCAGUGAUGGAGUUGUUUCUCGUGCAACAUUUCUAUAGUGGGAUGAGGACGCUUGAAAAAUAGGAAUGCAAACUCCCAAGCAAGACAGCUAUCCUCCAGGGUGAAUUUAAACUAGCAAUUUUGAGUCACAUUGAUAAUCUAGAACCCUCCUUUUCUUUGUUUUGUGUGUGGAAGCCAGGACUUGGUACAUGAUAGGCCAUCACUCUAUUCCUGAAGCAACAGCCCUAGCCCCAGAUUCCUUGAGAGAGUUUCACAACAGAGACCAAGGGCAUCUCUUACUCCUUAUACUCACAAUUAAGUGUGUGCUAAAGGAGAUGGUACCCAAAUGCUGAUGCCACAAGACUUUACCGGUGAUGAGGGCUUGGUGUCUUUUGAGAAAGAACCGAAAACCACACAGAGUUUUCCUCUGUUAGCAAAGGACAAGAGGACACAAAAGCCUCUGGUGGUUGCUGGUGGGUAGACAGAAACCUGCCUGGAAGUAAAACCAGCUAUUCUCCACUCAAGUAAUAUAUAUGCUCUUAAAGGAGCUCGCAUUCACGCGCGCACAAGCACGCACGCUCACACAACUUCCAGUCCUGUGCCCAGCUUCCUUCUAACCGUUCCUGGUUUGAGUCUCAAUCAUGAUCUGCCAUGCUGUAAUCUAGGCUUUCUCCAGGUCACUGUGAACUUGGCAAUGCGAGGCAAGCCACUUCUCGGUUCUUUAAGUUGUGGGAAAUACACCACAGCACCCAUCAUGGUUAUCAACCCUGAGCGAGUUACCACAUGGAAGUCUUGGAAUGCAGAUCAUGGCGUUGUGGCACAUGGCAGAGGUACACGUGUUAGCUCAUGUUAUUAGGAGGCUUCAAGGAUGCUCUGUGUCUCUACGUUUCCUGGGGAAUAAAUUAAAUCAAAAGCAAACAUGGGUUCUACUGGGCAUUUUGUUUUUCACUGAAAAAUCAAAAGGUUUCUAUAAUAGAAACCUAUACUCUUAUUCAACAACACCAACACACACACACUCAUGCAUACACACAUGUGUGUGUACACAAACAGAGGGACACAGAGAGUGGGAAGGAAAAAAUGAAAUGAGAUAGAGAGAAACAGAGAGAGAUAGAGACAGACAGACAGACAGAGAUCUUCCACGAGUCCAAAGUCUGGUUCAUAUCAAUUACAGCUUAGCCACUAAUGGCUAUAAAGAUACUCAAUGGCUUUAUAUUAAAUCAUGGGAAAAUAACCAGAAAUGUACUAUUGCUACCAAUACACUGACGCGCUGCCAUUUGAAAGUGCUGUGGAUAUAAAAUAGAGGACUUUCUAACCCCAAGUGAUAGAUAGGUCUUCUAGGUUUAAACAAAGAAUAGAACAGAACUUUCUAGUUGACAGGCUGACCAUAGAAGUAUCAGUGAGAACACGUUUAAGACUGUGCUGAUUACCAGGGUGGACCGUUAACACACACGAGGGGUGUGUGUGAUCUGUAUGUGGAAGGGCACUCGUGGCCUGAUGGAGGGCAGAGACUCUCUGUCCAGGUUAAUCUCACCUUGCUGGCCUGUCUUCAAGUGGGCUUGCUGGCUGAGGGACAGCAUGCUGAGCACGGUGGGGGUGCGACAAGGUGUAGCCCUUGGUUUCCCAGCCUUCCCAGCCUUCUGCACCGGCAGGGUAAAUAUCUUCCUUCACUAGCGGAUGGACUAGCCUGGGUGACGUGGUACCCACACUUCCCCCUGGAGUGCCUCUGUCUAUAUUUUGACAGGGUCCAAGUAUUUAAGGCAAAAAAACAAAACAAAACAAAACAAAGAAACCACCACAAACAACAACAACAAGAAAAAAACAACUGUGCCAAAGCCCAGAAGACACCAGACACACAUUGUAUUAAAUACUUCCUAGAGUCACAUUACUCAGAUCAUAGCAAGUGUGGGAAGGGUUGAUAGAAAAACAACUGAAAAACUUAAAUUUGUUUUCACGGUUGACACCCUCAUUUCAGAACCGAAAACACACUGCACCGUCACAAGAUGUAUUUCUUGAGAGGGCUGGCCUAGUUGAUUGAGUAACGCUAUCCUCUCAUUCAAAAACCAGCUGAUGCACACAGCCAUGCAGGCUUAAAUGCGUUCGCUCGGAUUUCUGAUCUGUUUGCCAAAGGGAAACAAGCGUGCGGUAUUUUUAUCCCUUGGCACAAGGGUAUUUUUCUUCCUCUUGUUCUCGUCCGCCACCUCUUGCUCUAAUGAAACAGCAGCGACUUUUAUUUUUUUGUUUUUCUUUAUUUUAUUUUUGGAUAUAUGGUCUCCUGUAGCCCAGGCUGGCGUCACUUUCGUUAUAUAGCUGAGGAUGACCUUGAACUCCUAAACACCCUGCCUCUACCUCUCAGGUGUGUGACUCCGGACUCAAGAGUUUUGUGCAGUGCUGGUAAUGAAAGGCAGAACCUGGUGCAUGGUGGGCAGGGACUCUAUGAACAAGUAACAUCCCCAGUUCAAUGAUACUGAUCUUAGAAGUGACUCUUGAUGCACACACAGAGCUACUUUACAACAUACGUGCGCACCGGGACCAGACUUUCCUUGCGAAUCCGUGUGCAGUCAGGUAAGUCUCCUUAGACUUAGAGGAAGUGCCUAAGUGGCUAUGCUGCGCUGAUUCUGAACAGUUUUCAAAGUUCUCAGGAGAGGAGAGGAGAAAGAUGUAGGGGACUGGAGAGCUUUUCACAAUCUUUUAACUCUUUUGCGUGUUUCACUGUUUAAAAUGCAUGAAGAUUAACAUCUGUUUCACCCAUAUUUGUGACUGUCGAGGAAAAUUUUAAUGAGUUGGUUUUUAGCUACAGUAAUGCUGAGGAGGCCAGAAGAGGGCACAGAUCCCCUAGAUCUAAAGUUGGGGGUCAGCUGAUGUGGGUGCUGAGAACUGAACUUGGGUCCUCUGCAAGCCCAGCCCACUGUCUUAGUCACUGACUUCAGCCUCCUUCCUAGUUUUUGAGACCGGAUCUCAGUGAAUUUGGAGCUCGAGAACUGGCUGGUCUGAUUGUCCAGCGUUGUAUCCAGGAUCCUCCUGUCUCUGCACUUGCCCUCCCCUGGGGGCAGGGAUUGAAGGUAUUUGCCACCACACUUGGUUUUUUAACAUGGAUGCUAGGGAUUCUAGCUGAGGUCUUCGAGUUCACAGAGGAAGUGCUGCAGCUCUGUACCCAGAGCCCCACCUCCCAGCCCUGAGUCCUCAAACAUCCAUGAUGGCCCCUGGGUGAGAGCAGGUGCCAUCGCCUCUCAGAUACUUUGAGCUGGACAUAAGUAACGUACUAAUAAGCAAAUAACAAAUUAUUAAAGUCACCAGAGACAAGAUCCCUUGUCAUAGUCCUGGCUGUCCUGGAACUCACUAUGUACUGAAACUCACUAUGUAGACCAUACUGGCCUUAAACUUCUCCUUAAGAUCCUUAGGAUCCCUUAAGAUCCUCCUGCCUCAGCCUCAGGAGCCCUGGGAUUAAAGAUGUAGACACCAUAAGUUACUUUCCAUUAAGUGUUACAAGAAAUGAGGUCCAUUGAUAACUCCUGAAGUUAAUGGUUAGAGGAAAGUUGAGAGGAUCAGGCCCAAGGGAGGGAAGAAGUUGUUUGCAGACACCUGAUCAGGACUAGAAAAAAACUAAACUCCUGCUUUGUCAGAGAAGAGCAUGUCUUCGUGCAUCUAACAGACAAAAAAGCAAGAGAAUGAAAAUGAGUCUUUGUUUUAUCUACUUCAAGGGCAUCCAAAAGAUGUUUUCAAGUUUUAAGACUCUCUUAAGUAGAGCAUGUGUAAAGCCAGGGUUCUGUAUUAGUUAAAGUCUAAUGGCUGGCUGUUCUUGCAUUCCCAAGUAAGAAAAUCGUAUUAGUUUCUUCUCUCUUUGCUGUGACUUAAAAACCUGACCAGAAGUGCUGGCAGGGAGGAAGGUUUCAUUUUGGCUUAUCAUUGUAGGAAAUCUUAGGAGCAAGAGCAGGAGUCAGCUGCUCUUGGAACUGCCGGGCUCCAACAGGAAGUAGGGCUGGACUGCAAGACCUCAUGGCCCUCCCCCAACCCCCACUGACCUCACGCUUCCUGAGCAUCCAGGGAGGCCCUUCUGUGUGUUCCUCAGCCUUCCAAAUCAGCGCCACAGGCUGAUUAUCAAGUGUUCAAACACCCGCACCUGUAGGGCCAACGGAAAGAUACUCAAACUGCAACCGGAAGAGUGGGAGCCUUGCCUUAGGAGUCCUGGGGAGAGAAAAGAAAAGCAAUAUAGUCGUUCACCGGUGAGCAAGCGGCUGAGCGGUUUUUGCCAGUGAUCAAUUCCUGGUGAAAACUUUCCGCUUAAGAAGAGUCGUGGCAGUGUCAUAGGAAAAUAGCUUUCAUCUCUUUUUAUUAUGAAGGCUGAGAGGAAAGAACAUGAAAGAGACAGAAAUAUAACAUUUAUGGAAGAAACAAAUUGGGAAACAAAACUGAUUUAAAUCUCGGACUCCUUUAAGGACGUUUCUCUGACUAUUUAUUCUAUUGUAUUAUUAAAUUCAACCACCCUUUAUUUUUAGUUGCUGGCCACUUAGCUCACUGAAACACUGUCUCUGUACUUGAGAGUCAGGCUCUUGUUGCCUCCGAUUGAACUUGACUUUUUUUUUUCCAUUGCAACUGAGGAGGACUAACUUUAAGAUGAGUGAAGGAUAUUCUGAAUCAUCUCUUUUAUUCCCUUGUUAUUCUUGGUAUCUCUCCAACUCAAGGGUUUGGGGAAAUAAGCCAACUUUUCAAGGUGGUACUGGCCUUGGAGCCAAAAUUCCAGUGCAGACGCAUCUCUGUAGCUUCAGCUACCUUAGAAAAUUGAUGUGGUUUCUGAAAAAAAAAAAAAAGAAAGAAAGAAAGAAAAGCCGUAAUUUCUUCCAUCCCAUUAAAAAUAGGAGUGCAAUAUUGCAAAAGCGAGGCAAUCCGAAGCAGGCAAUUUCAGCAUAAGUAAACAGAUAUGCAGCAUUUACAUAUGCAUGAGAUGCAAAUGAGAGCUUGGUGGUCCUGCCUCUCUUUGGCGCUAGAGCUGAGACUAGAACCCCAGUUUGGGACUUCGAAGAGCUCUUGCGACAGUUUUCGUUUUUCUGCGUCAUCCAGGUCUUCUUUUCGUCCUCGGAAACGUUUUUCACUUACGGAAUGAGGUGAUCAUCAGUUUCACAAUACGACCCUUGUAAAAGCGGGUGGUUUCUUUUACAAGAGACUUGCAGUGAAUAAUGGUGUGUGGCAACGAUCCCCCCCCCCCCCCCCCGAAGGCCAGGUGCAUUGUUAAUCUUGACCUUUUGGAGUGCAGACCUUCCAGUAGUUGGAGGAAGACCACCCACGCUAUCAAGGUCAUCUGCUUUACGUCACGUCUAUUUAUCUCAAAAGUUAGCAUCUGAUUAGUGUUGAUUGCUUGUGUGGCUCCUGGGAAGCCCAUCUGGAUCAGCACAAAACCCUCCCAGCACCUCUUGAAUUACACUGCUUUGCCUCUUUGGAAUCAGGCAUGUUUUUAGCGUCUGUCUGUCCGUCUGUGGCAUCACACAGAGCCGCCUUCCUUUUGACAGCUCUCCACAUAUUUAAAGGAAACUAGUGUUCCUCCUCAGUCCUCUCUUUCCUAGUAGAGGGACAGGCACUUCAUUCUCUUGCCCAGAGAGCUAGCUUCGGGUCACAGCCUUGUCCUUGCUGACCUGCUCAACUUGGUUACUCUAAAGCCCAGGGCCUAGGUUGGAUUGAAGCCCUUGAGGAAGUGGUUUGUCCAAAACAGACCAGAGUGAGAUGGGAUUUCUUUCUAGGCACUCAGGCUGCUCAUCCUAAAGUCACUGCUCCUGUCGUGGUGGCAGGAGACAGGAUGGUGGCUCACAGGGACUUCACUGCAAAUGAAGGCUUUGGGUUGGCUGUGUGUGGCUUUGGUUUUCUAAUGUACCCCCUUGCUGAGCUAAGUGUUCCCUAAGCAGGGUGUGUGCGUCUUACUCUGGCAGAGGAGUUUAUUUUCACCCUCCUAAGUAUUGUUUUGUCAGAUUUAAUCGUGUCUUCUGUCACUUUGGGCCUUUUGGAUCUGAAUGUGUGUCAACCCUCCAUGUUUGCCGUCAUCUGGAUGUGUGUUUGUUUUGGAAUAUUUCAGGGCCUGCCCACCUGUGUGUGUGUGUGUGUGUGUGUGUGUGUGUGUGUGUGUGUGUGUGUGUGUUGUCUGUCUCUGUGUGUGGUGGUGUGCAUGUAUGUGUGUCUCUCUACAUGCUAGUGUGCAUGUAUGUGUGUCUCUCUACAUGCUAGUGUGCAUGCAUGCAUGUAUGUAUAUCUGCAUGUUUGUUGGUAUGGCUCUGUGUGUGUGUGUAUGUGUGUUGGUAUGGCUGUGUGUAUGUGUGUUGGUAUGGCUGUGCGUGCAUGUGUGUAUGCAUGAGUGUGUGUGAGUGUGUGUAUGUGAGUGUAUCUGCCUCUGUGUGCUGGUGUGCAUGUGUAUAUAUAUGUAUAUCUUUGUAUGUGUGUUGGUAUGACUCUGUGUGUGUUUGUGUCUUGGUGUGGCUCUGUGCGUGUGUGUGUGUUUCUGUAUGUCUACAUGCUGGUGUGUGUGCAUGUAUGCAUGUAUGUGUAUUGUGUGCAUGUGUGUGUCUAUAUAUGUGCUGGUAUGGCCAUGUGUAUGUGUGUGUCUCUAUGUGUGUUGGUAUGGCUGUGUGCAUGUGUGUUUGUAUGUGUGUUGGUAUGGCUGUGUGCAUGUGUGUUUGUAUGUGUGUUGGUAUGGCUGUGCAUGUGUAUGUCUGUAUGUGUGUUAGUGUGGCUGUGUGCAUGUGUAUGUGUAAAGGCCAGAGAACAACCUCAGAUAUCAGGUGCCACCUACCUUUCUUUUUAAAGAAGGGCUUCUCACUAGUCUGGGACUUGCUAAGUAGGGUUUGAAAUUGGCCAGCCCCAGGGCUCUGACUGUCUUCACCGAAACCCCAGUGGUGGGGUUAUAAGCUCACAUCACUGUGCCUGGCUUUGUUGAAUGUGGGUCCGAAGUACUGACCCCUGAUCUUUUCUCUUCCCGGCAGUCGUAGACAUUUCUACCUUUGAUCGUUUGACUUAGGAAUGGUGAGUCUUUCUAGUGAUUUCAGACCACCGUUAGUAUCAUGCUUUACUGGGUAAGAAAAAUUAGGGGUCCUGAACUGGCAAGGUGACUCAGCAGGUCAGGACACUUGCCACCAAGACUGAGGUCCUUAGAUUGAUUCCUGGAAAUGACUUGGUGGAAGGGGAGGACAGACUUCUAUAAGUUGCCCUCUGAUCUCCCUACCUACACACAAAUCAAUCAAUCUAUCUAUCUAUCUGUCUAUCUAUCUAUCUAUCUAUCUAUCUAUCUAUCUAUCUAUCUAUCUUUAAGCAAAAGGAAGAUUCAGAGUCUUCAACUUGUAUUAGAGGGAUAUUAUAUUAGCCCCAUGUCCCAUUAGUACCAUAUUUAUUUAAGAAAUUUUGCUUGGGCAUUACAGCAUCAAAAAGUGAGCCGGGUGGUGGGUGGUGGCCUUACACAGACUCCUAAGUCCUCAUUUAUUAUUAUCCUCCACCUCUCUUGUUUCUGUAGCACAUGCUUUUCUUAGGACUUGGUCUACUGCUAUGUAAAGUGCACACAUGAUCCAAUGUGAUUAGUCCCAAUAGCUCUUCUAGUUAAAAGGCUGUUUUCCACAAAGCUAUUUCAAGAUCUCUGUGUGCCUCUGUAUGAAAACGACUGAACUGUGUGAUUUGAAGUUGAUGCCAAGGCUGAGUACGAGCUACAAUGUUCUUUUGUAGUUUACAACAACUGUUAGGAAACCUACCCACGGCUCAGAAUUACCUGGAGGGGUUGGAACUGUAUGUUCCCAGCCCCUUCUGCCAGAGCUUUGAUUUACUAGGUGGGUGGUGGGCUCGGAGAAUUCGAAUCUCUAGCAGUUUGCCACUGAGGCUGGUUUUCUAGGUACCUUGUUUUGGGGAAUCUUUGUGCUCUUUGCUCAGUGUUCAGUUUCCAUUUGGGGAAAACAGAAUUCAACUUAGAAACACACAGGCAUUAGGCAGCCGAGGGCGCACGUGACUCUACCGUACUCCGCGGACAGGCUGUGCGGCAGCAUCAUAGAGGGAACAGUGCAUGUGGGUCAGAGUCCUGGGCACAGGGCGAAUGCCAAGCUCGUCCUUGGUUCCUUAAAAGCAGACCUUCCCAGACAUCAUGCUUGGGCCGGGAUGGUUUUGUAAGCAGCGCAAACCUCCGUAACUCUGCUGUGAGGGUUCUGAGACAGUGACCAGAUGACAGCCUUGGGGAGAGGCGGAGCUAACCUGCCCUGUGUGAGAACAGCUGUGACACAGGCUAAGCAUCCCUAAUCCAAAAAUCUCCAGUUGGAAGCGCUCUGAAUUUUGCAAAUUUCAGAGUGUUAGCAUGGAGCUCAAAAUGUCUCCGGCAUCAAGAUAAAGGACUCUCACCUGAGAGUAGCUGUGAGCGUUCCAGCAUUCAAAGCAACCUCAAGAGAAAAAAAAAAAAAAUUGAAACCUAAACUGGAGAGAUGGCUCAGUGGUUAAGAGCACUGACUGCUCUCCCAGAGGUCCUGAGUUCAAUUCCCAGCAACCACAUGGUGGCUCACAACCUUCCUAAUGAGAUCUGAUGCCCUCUUCUGGUGUGUCUGAAGACAGCUACAGUGAACUUGUAUAUAAAAAAUAAAUCUUAAAAAAAAAAAUCUGAAACUCAGAUAAGGGAUGGUCAGCUUGCCUGAAGGUUUUACACACGGAAUUCGAACCCAGAACCAGAACCUUAGCACCUUGCUGCAUGCUCAAGUCUCAGACAGAGACAGACAAGUAUGAAAGCCAGAUACUUACUAUAAAAUGAUUUUACAUUGCUCGUUGGUUAAUGGUGUUUAUAAAAUGUUUAAAGGUGGUGUCAAAACAGCCGCCGCUCUGGGGAAAGUUUAUAAAUCCCUGCAUUUUAGGAGCAUGAGUAACAUUUUCUUCAACGAUGCAUUUCCUGUCUCCUCAAAAAUAUUUUAAAAUGUUUUCUCCUAUUUUCUGUCGCCGGGCAGUAAUUUAAGAGGGGAAGACAAAUAAUAAAAACAGAAAGGAAAGAAUUUUCGAGAACUGUGAAUACUUGUCUGAAAAGUUAUUGAUUUCCUUUUGCAUCAAGAACUUCAUAAAUUAUAACCACCUUGCUAUGCAUAGUGAGAUGCUUUAAAGGCUGACCCAAAUACACGGGGUGAGCGAAAAUAGAUUAUCUGCUAUGGGGUCUAGAAAUCUUUCCUUUAAAGUAUUUCAUGUCAUAUCUUUUUUUAAAACUUUUUUUCUUUUCUGUCACAGCUGACUUGGCACUUCCCAUAUGGAGUAAAUGUGCACUAAUCCUCCUGCCUCUGCCACUUUUUUUUUUUUUUUUUUUUUUUUGGUUCUUUUUUUCGGAGCUGGGGACCGAACCCAGGGCCUUUCGCUUCCUAGGCAAGCGCUCUACCACUGAGCUAAAUCCCCAACCCUUCUUUUUUUUUUUUUUUUUUUGUUUUUUUGUUUUUUUGUUUUUUUGUUUUUUUUGCUGCCUCUGCCAUUUGAGUGCUGAGAUGACAAGUUAAAAUAUUUUACAUCUUGACCAAGUAUGUUUGAGAUAGGGUCUCGUUCAGUUCAGGCUGGUUUUGAACUCACUCUUUAGUCCAGGGCAAGCUUGAACUCUUGACCUUCAGAAUUCCUGAAUUCUCUCACAGGUGUCACUGUCUCCACUUGGAUGUGAUGUUAGGGUUUGAACCCAGGUCUUUGGCCAUGCUAGACAAACACUCUACCCCUAAGCUACAUCUGCAGCCUAGUGGCAGCUCCAUUUCUCUCCUCUUUUCUCUUACCAACCCCAGCA